CCGUUGGUCAAGUGGUUAAGACACCGCCCUUUCACGGCGGUAACACGGGUUCGAAUCCCGUACGGGUCAUCCA
rnacentral:tRNA from 1 species